CCUACGGGAGGCAGCAGUGAGGAAUAUUGGUCAAUGGACGAGAGUCUGAACCAGCCAAGUAGCGUGAAGGAUGACUGCCCUAUGGGUUGUAAACUUCUUUUAUAUGGGAAUAAAACAGGGUAUGCAUACCCUCUUGUAUGUAACAUAUGAAUAAGGCUCGGCUAAAUCCGUGCCAGCAGCCGCGGUAAUACGGAGGAUUCGAGCGUUUUCCGGAUUUAUUGGGUUUAAAGGGAGCCGUGGUGGAUUGUUAAUGCAGUUGGGAAAGUUUGCGGCUCAACCGUAAAAUUGCAGUUGAAACUGGCAGUCUUGAGUACAGUAGAGGUGGGCGGAAUUCGUGGUGUAGCGGUGAAAUGCUUAGAUAUCACGAAGAACUCCGAUUGCGAAGGCAGCUCACUGGACUGCAACUGACACUGAUGCACGAAAGUGUGGGUAUCGAACAGGAUUAGAUACCCCUGUAGUC
rnacentral:rRNA from 1 species